UUAAAAAAAAAUCAGGGGAGAUACCAUGAUCACGAAAGUGAGUUUCCCAGGGCGAGGCUUAUCCAUUGCACUCCGGAUGUGCUGACCCUGCGAUUUCCGCAAAUGUGGGAAACUCAACUGCAUAAUUUGGGGAGUGGGAGACUGCGUUCGCGCUCCCCCCUU
rnacentral:snRNA from 1 species